GAUGAACGCUGGCGGCGUGCCUAAUACAUGCAAGUCGAGCGAACAGAUAAGGAGCUUGCUCCUUUGACGUUAGCGGCGGACGGGUGAGUAACACGUGGGUAACCUACCUAUAAGACUGGGAUAACUUCGGGAAACCGGAGCUAAUACCGGAUAACAUUUGGAACCGCAUGGUUCUAAAGUGAAAGAUGGCUUUGCUUUCACUUAUAGAUGGACCCGCGCCGUAUUAGCUAGUUGGUAAGGUAACGGCUUACCAAGGCGACGAUACGUAGCCGACCUGAGAGGGUGAUCGGCCACACUGGAACUGAGACACGGUCCAGACUCCUACGGGAGGCAGCAGUAGGGAAUCUUCCGCAAUGGGCGAAAGCCUGACGGAGCAACGCCGCGUGAGUGAUGAAGGGUUUCGGAUCGUAAAACUCUGUUAUUAGGGAAGAACAAAUGUGUAAGUAACUGUGCACGUCCUGACGGUACCUAAUCAGAAAGCCACGGCUAACUACGUG
rnacentral:rRNA from 1 species